GUGUCUGGUUUUCUUUCUCGCAGUUGACUCCCAGUAUUCUCACGACAACAGGAACCUCUGAGCCAGCCCAGGUGCCCCUCCUGUGCAUCAAAGAUGGAUUGGCAUGCCCGGCUCUUGGCAAGAUAAGUGCAGGGCAAAGACCCAGAGAGGGGCUGGGAGUUGGUGCAAGUCUGUGCAUUGCCUGGAGGGAUUUUUGUAAUUAGUGUGGUGCAAGAGGUAUCCUGGCACAGGUUAUUUGGAGACAUCAGAGGAAGGGCUUACUUUGUGUCAUUGGAUUCCCGUGUGCAGGGCAGAGCAGUUCCAGUCUGUGUCACGUCCUUUGUCUCGUCCGUGUUUUGUGUCCUUCGUCUCUCAAUUGUGUCACGUGGUGUGUGUCAUCACAGGUGUGGGGUGUCUCACUUGGGGUCAGCCUGGAACUGCUCUGCCCUGCUCCGUGGAUCAGUGGGUAGAUGGAAUAUUGCUCAGUCUCACAUCACCAUGUCAGUUCCCUUAGACAGUGGAGCCGAUGGCUGUCCAGUCGGUGAGCAGGAUGGUCUUGCGAUGCCCUGCUUGGGUGUACAGAGUCCCGGCUAGGUAGAGCAGCAAAGAGUGUCUAGGGUUUAGAGGUUUUUGGCUUUCCUUGUGAGCCAUCCCUAAAUGUUUGAGAGCUGAGUGUUUGAGCCUUUCCCCAUUUGAUUUGCAGGGGCGGUCUUGGGAGCAGCUGAAGAGAGAGGAGCCUUGUAGGUAUCCCAGAAGAUGACAGCACAUUGUCCAAGUGUGGUCAGAGCCAGCGACCCGAGGACCUGCCUUGGUGACAUUAACUUGGAGUACUCUCACGACGACAGGAACCUCUGAGCCAGCCCAGGUGUUCCUCCUGUGCCUCAAAGCUGGAUUGGCAUCCCCGGCUCUCGGCAAGAUAAGUGCAGGGCAAAGACCCAGAGAGGGGUUGGGAGUGGGUGCAAGUCUGUGCAUUGUCCGGAGGGAUUUUUGAAAUUAGUCUGGUGUGAGGGGUAUCCUGGCACCGGUUAUUUGGACACAUCAAAGGAAGUACUUACUUUGUAUCAUUGGAUUCCCGUGUGCAGGGCAGAGCAGUUCCAGUCUGUGUCACGUCCUUUGUCUUGUCCAUGUUCUGUGUCCUUUGUCUCUUAAUUGUGUCACAUGGUGUGUGUCGUCACAGAUACGGGGUGUUUCACUUGGGGUCAGCCUGGAACUGCUCUGCCCUGCUCCGUGGAUCAGUGGGUAGAUGGAAUAGGACUCCGAGUGUCAGGUCAGCAUGUCAGUUCCCUUAGACAGUGGAGCCGCUGGCUGUCCAGUGGGUGAGCAGGAUG